GGACCCUGGGGGAGUGCACUGAGAGCAGUGGUCAGCCGGGGGCUACUAGGAGGCCCAAGUACCUAGAGCCCUGAAGCCUGGCUACUCUGGUGGGCACCAGGCCUCCCGGAAGUGGCCCGAGGACGACGGGUUUGCAGGAGACUCCUGGCCCCUGUGGUCAGGCACCUGGUGGCACCGGAGCAGCCCCGCCCAUCUCAGAGAACUGCUCAGAUCUACCAACACAACCCGUGGUCAGGAGCCACGCGGCCUGGCUGUUCCCAUCGGGGUGGAGAGUUAAACCAGCUUGCUCGCCCUGGGAAGGGCAGGGGCAUGUGACACACAGGAGAGCUCCGGUGCCUUCUGGAGCUGGCUGUGGGGCCACAGGGACCACUGAGCCCAGGGCAGCCGCCGCACUGGCUGCAGACAAGGCUGUAGAACAGAGAGGCCACAGCAAGCCCUCCAGGAUCCAGGGUAGGUCCAAAGCCACCCUGAACCAGGAGGGGCUUAAACCCCUCCCUCCUGGCUUUUCUGCAAGUCCCCAGCCUUUCUACAGAUUCUCCUGACUAGCCCUCCCUAUAGAGGUGGGGCUCAGGCAAGCCAGGAAACGGGGUGUUGGGACUCAGGGGAUCAUUGGCCUGCACAGGGAGUUCCCCUUACCCACAAUCCCCGCUGGUUCAGCAGGCCAUCCCACCCCCCAGAUCCACCCUGCCCCACUUCUAGGGAGACCUGUGAGCUCAGCUGGCAUGGACAAGGGCGCUCCAGCCAGGGGACCCCAGGGCGGAGGAGAGGCGUGCAGGGCCCUCCCCUGAGGUAUCACACAUGUCCACCAAGGCAGCCCCGCACCUGGCCCACCCACCUGCUUGUUGUGGCGCAAGAAGUGGUAGCCCAAGGCCAGCUUCUUGUAGGCCUGGCCAAACUUCUCGUUCCAGCCCUCGACAGCCUGCAUGGCAGCCCGCCUCAGGGUGCGGGCCACCUCCCGGGGGGGCGGCAGGGGCUGCUCGGGGUCCGUGCCCAACGUCAGCUCCAGGAGCUCCUGGAGGUUGGAGACGACCAGCACCCGGAACUGAUGCGAGCGCGUGAAGAGCACCUCGAGCACCUGGAAGGCCGAGAGGCGGACCUCGGCGUGCUCCUGGCUCAGCUGCGUCAUCAGCAGGUGGUAGACGUGGCGGAGCUGCUCCUCAGAGGAUCUGCAGGGUGGGGGCAAGGGUGGAUGGGACUCGUGGGCUCCUCCCCAGCUGCCCAUAUGCCCACUUCCUGCCGGCUACAGCCCGCGAGUUAAGUGGUUGAAAUAAACAGGAAAACAUUA